AUUGAACGCUGGCGGCAGGCCUAACACAUGCAAGUCGAACGCGCGGCGGACGGGGGUGUAAUGUAUGGGAAAACGCCCGCAGGAGGGGGAUAACAAUUGGAAAAGGUAGCUAAUAUCGCAUACAAUAAGAUGGCGCCCGAUGGGAGUAGAUAGUGGUGGGGGUAAUGGCUCACCUAGGCGCAGAUCCCUAGCUGGUCUGAGAGGAGGACCAGCCACACUGGAACUGAGACACGGUCCAGACUCCUACGGGAGGCAGCAGUGGGGAAUAUUGCACAAUGGGCGCAAGCCUGAUGCAGCCAUGCCGCGUGUGUGAAGAAGGCCUUCGGGUUGUAAAGCACUUUCAGCGGGGAGGCGUUACCCGCAGAAGAAGCACCGGCUAACUCCGUGCCAGCAGCCGCGGUAAUAC
rnacentral:rRNA from 1 species